rnacentral:rRNA from 1 species
CUCCGCCGGCGACCGGCGCACGGGUGCGUAACGCGUAUGCAACCUACCUUUAACAGGGCGAUAACACUGAGAAAUUGGUACUAAUCCCCAUAACAUCGAGAAGGCAUCUUCUUGGGUUAAAAACUCCGGUGGUUAAAGAUGGGCAUGCGUUGUAUUAGCUAGUUGGUGAGGUAACGGCUCACCAAGGCAACGAUACAUAGGGGGACUGAGAGGUUAACCCCCCACACUGGUACUGAGACACGGACCAG